UACGUAGGAGGCAAGCGUUGUCCGGAAUUACUGGGCGUAAAGCGCGUGUAGGUGGUGGGACAAGUCUGCUGUGAAAGCGCCUGGCUUAACCGGGCGAGGUCGGCGGAAACUGUCUCACUUGAGGACGGUAGAGGGGGGUGGAAUUCCCGGUGUAGUGGUGAAAUGCGUAGAGAUCGGGAGGAACACCUGUGGCGAAGGCGGCCCCCUGGGCCGGCCCUGACACUGAGACGCGAAGGCGUGGGGAGCGAACGGG
rnacentral:rRNA from 1 species